UACGUAGGGGGCAAGCGUUGUCCGGAAUCAUUGGGCGUAAAGGGCGCGUAGGCGGGCAUAUAAGUCUGAUGUGAAAGUGCGGAGCUUAACUCCGUAAAGCAUUGGAAACUGAAUGUCUUGAGGACAGGAGAGGAAAGUGGAAUUCCACGUGUAGCGGUGAAAUGCGUAGAGAUGUGGAGGAACACCAGUGGCGAAGGCGACUUUCUGGACUGUAACUGACGCUGAGGCGCGAAAGCGUGGGGAGCGAACA
rnacentral:rRNA from 1 species